GGCGGCGUGGCGCGGGUGUCCCCCGGGGAGGUCCCGGUCCUGGCAGCCGGCGGCCGCGUCCUUGGCCCUCCUCCAGGGGAACCUCGAUUUUCCCAUCUCGGGAAGGCCGGCUGUCCCUCGGCUACCGACAAGGACGCGACCGCUUGGUAAAAGAUUUGAACAAUGCCCGGAAAGAAAGAGCCGGACCCGAGACAGAGCCUAGUAAUAGCCGCCCGCUAGAGUCCUGCUCGCGUGCUCAGCGCUCUUACCAACAAUAAUAACGACAACAGCCAUAAGAGCCACCAUUUAUUGAGCGCUUACUCUGUGCCAGGCACUGUGUUAAGCGUUUUGCAGGCAACAACCCUCGGAGCUCUGAGAGGAGUGCAUCAUUAUUUCGACAGAGGAGACCACAAGACUGGUAAAUGGCAAUGUGGGCAUCCACCAGGAGGAUCUACCUGUAAAGCCACGUUCCCAUGACCCGAAUGCACAAGCUGAUCCAACUGAACAGAAGAGGAAAUGAUGUCCUAAAGUAAGCAGCCCCGGCUGGUACAGCAGCCCUGUGACCAUCAGGGACCCAGGCCCCUUCUACCUGGGGCUCCCCAUCAUCAGUGCAUGCCUUCCACUAGUGACCCAAGACACCAAUGGAAGAAGCAGCAGGAAAGAAGAGAGUCCUGCCUCCUCAAAGGACGCUUCCUGGAAUUCACAUGCAUCACAUCUGCUUGUACCGUACUAGCCAGAACAAAGUCCCACGGCCCCCAGAAGAUAAGAUUUAUCUAAGUAGAGCUUUUAUUACUAUAGAGAAAGAACAGAUAUUGGUGGGAUAACUGGCUUCUCUGCCGCAUUUUACAAACGUCUUUCCAGAGCACAUAGUUUUAUAUCCCUUUUGUUUUUCUCUUAUUUUUUAGUGAAUGUGUGACCACAUCAUUAAAUAUUCUUCAACUUUUAAUGGCUGCUCAAUAUUCCAUGAUAGCAGGUAGCAUCACUGAUAGAUCCAAUACCUUAUUUGAUAUGUGGGUGUUUUGCUCUGUUAAAUAAGACUCUUCAAUGGCUAAAACUUGUCAGAGGAAGAGAUCCCAACCUUUCCUCUCUACUUGGGGGCUGCCCUCCAAAGACAUUUUGCUGAGGAGUCAGAUUAGUAUCUGCCUUGAAAGCUGGCUUAAGGUUCUGUGUUUGUUUCUAAAAAAAAAAAAGAAGAAGAAGAAGAAGCUUUUUGGCAACAGGAAUACCCCUCCGUUCCCCUUGCAGAGGAAGUCAUAAGGGUAGGCACUUCUGCCUUUGGUGGGAGGAAGAUGGGGUGAGGAUGUGGGAGCUGCAGGUGCAGAGUCAGUGGGAGGAGACCAUGGACUCUACGGAGCCAGGAGAGGACCUGUUCCUGUAGAGGCUUAGGAGCCUGGAUGGGGCCCAAUUCAUUCUUCACUCAAGUUCAACCAGCACUUUCUGUGCCUCUUCUCAGGGUCAUGCCCUGGACCAGUCCCUGGGGUUGUCUCAGAGUAGACAUCGCCCCUGCUCUCCAGGAACCCAGUCAAGUCUAAACUCACCAAUGUAGGAGUUCAGCCUGCCGUGUCACCUCAAAUAAGAAUCCUCAGGCCCACACCCAAAUGCCUGAUGCCAUGUUGGUGGGUCUAGAACCUGCAUUUCUUUCCGUCUCCUGGAGUGACUGAUGGGCAUGCUCAGGAACCAUUUUAGUGGAGGAACAUCAGUCAAGGUGUUUAGAGGAAUCCUUUUAAACCAGGCAGACCAGGAGCCUCCGUCUGCUCAGUAUGUGGCUUGAACCUUGACUGAGCGUUAAGCUAUAAGAGGGCACCUGUCAGACACACCUGAACCCAAAUAGCAGGUCCAUCCUUCUGUAGCUGAGUGAUCUCAAGCAAAUUAUUUAACCUCCCUAAGACUCAGUUUUCCUAUUUGUAAAAUAGGAAGAAUUGAAGUCCUUCCCACGUGAAAAAAUAAACAUCAGUGCUUAGCAGAGUGUCUGGCACCCUAUAAAUGGUAGCUGUUGUUAUUAAAUUAAUUAAAACUGGGCAGCCUGGGUGGCCCAGCAGGUUAGCGCUGCCUUCAGCCCAGAGCAUGAUUCUGGAGAUCUGGGAUCGAGUCCCACGUCAGGUUCCCUGCAUGGAGCCUGCUUCUGUCUCCACCUCUGUGUGUGUGUGUGUGUGUGUGUCUCAUGAAAAAAUAAAAUCUUUAAAAAAAUUAAUUAAA